GCAGGGAAGAUCUACCAUUUGCACUCUGCUUGCGGCCGCCAAGUUCUCUGGUCUGCGAAAGUCAUGUUACCCAACACCGGGAAGCUAGCAGGAUGUACCGUGUUUAUCACAGGUGCCAGCCGUGGCAUUGGCAAAGCUAUUGCAUUGAAAGCAGCAAAGGAUGGAGCAAAUAUUGUCAUUGCUGCGAAGACCACCCACGCACACCCAAAACUUCAGGGCACAAUCUACACUGCUGCUGAAGAGAUUGAAGCAGUUGGAGGAAAGGCCUUGCCAUGUGUUGUUGAUGUGAGAGAUGAACAGCAAAUCAGUGAUGCAGUCGAGAAGGCGGUCAAGAAAUUUGGAGGAAUUGAUAUUUUGGUCAAUAAUGCCAGUGCUAUUAGCUUGACCAACACAUUGGAAACACCUACAAAGAGAGUGGAUUUGAUGAUGAGUGUGAACACCAGAGGCACCUACCUUACAUCUAAAGCAUGUAUUCCUUAUUUGAAAAAGAGUAAAAUCGCUCAUAUCCUUAAUCUCAGCCCACCGCUGAACCUAAAUCCAAUGUGGUUCAAACAGCACUGUGCUUAUACCAUUGCUAAGUAUGGUAUGUCUAUGUGUGUACUUGGAAUGGCAGAAGAAUUUAAAGGAGAAAUUGCAGUCAAUGCAUUGUGGCCUAAAACAGCUAUACACACCGCUGCCAUGGAUAUGCUGGGCGGAUCUGGUAUCGAAAGCCAGUGUAGAAAAGUUGAGAUCAUCGCAGACGCUGCAUAUUCCAUUUUCAAAAAACCAAAAAGUUUUACUGGCAACUUUAUUAUUGAUGAAAAUAUCUUAAAAGAAGAAGGAAUAAAAAACUUUGACAUCUAUGCAGUUAAACCAGGCCAUCCUUUGAUACCAGAUUUCUUCUUAGAUGAACACCCAGAAAUGGUUACCAAGAAAAUGGAAUCACAGGGUGGUAUUCCAGAGGUCAAAGAAGAAAAGCCACAGCCCCAGCCACAGCUGCAGCCACAACCAAAAGCACAUGCUGGAGCUGUGGAAGAAACAUUUAAAAUUGUUAAAGACUCUCUCAGUGAUGACGUGGUUAAAGCCACUCAAACAAUCUGUUUGAACUCUCAGGUGAAGAUGGUGGCAUGUGGUUUCUUGAUCUGAAAAGCAAGGGUGGGAAAGUCGGAUAUGGAGAGCCUUCUGAUCGGGUCGAUGUGGUGAUGAGCAUGUCUACAGAAGAUUUUGUGAAAAUGUUUUCAGGGAAACUAAAACCAACAAUGGCAUUCAUGUCAGGAAGAUUGAAGAUUAAAGGAAACAUGGCCCUAGCAAUCAAAUUGGAGAAGCUAAUGAAUCAGAUGAAUGCCAAACUGUGAAAGAAAAGGAAAAAAAUAUGUCGACUGCUAUGUUCACAAAGUAAAAAACUCAAAACUAAAAUCUAUUGUUGGUUUUCUUCCCUAUUGCAUUAUAAGGAUAUGCAUGUUCGUUCUGGAAAAAGAUAGAAUUUCUGUAUCUGUAAGACUUGAAAUUGCAAUUAAAACAGUUGGCUAAUUAAACAGAAGCUUCAUUAAGUGGAAUUCUAAGACAGUAUGUUUUUUAGAUUUCGAGAGUUUUGCUGAGCCUUGUAUCUAAUUUACUAUCUUCUGUCAGGAAAAGUAUCAUUAGCAAGUAGUUAGGCUCAAGCAAUAAAAUUCACUCCUUUGGAAGCACCUGCUCAUGUAAAAUGAUUGAGUUUGGGAUUGUAUAUUAAUGAUGUUUUAGAUUUUUAAAUACUUAUAAAGGAAAUUUUCUGGCGACGCCCAUAGCUCAGUGGGUAGGGCACUGACCAUGUAUACCGGAGCUGGAGGUUUCAAACCCAGCCCGGGCCAACAGUGACAACUGCAACAACAACAAAAAAAUAGCCAGCAAUGAAUCCUCAACAAUAAAAAGAAAAUUUUUUUUUUUUGAGACAGAGUCUCACUAUGUCCCCCUUGGUGGAGUGCUGUGAUGUCACAGCUCACAGCAACCUUAAACUGUUGGGCUCAACCGAUUUUCUUGCCUCAGCCUUCCAAGUAGCUGGGACUUGUCAUUGUUGGUUAGGUGGCCUAAGCCAGGUUCGAACCUGCCACCUUCAGU